rnacentral:tRNA from 2 species
GGAGAGAUGUCCGAGAGGUUGAAGGAGCACGCCUGGAAAGCGUGUGUAGGGGCAACUCUACCGAGGGUUCGAAUCCCUCUCUCUCCG